rnacentral:pre_miRNA from 1 species
GUUGUACUCCCUCCGUUCCGAAUUACUUGUCGCAGGUAUGGAUGUAUCUAGAUGUAUUUUAGUUCUAGAUACAUCCAUUUCUGCGAUGAGUAAUUUGGAAUGGAGGGAGUACAAA